GCCUAGAUUGCUCAGUUGGGAGAGCGUUAGACUAAAGAUCUAAAAGUCCCCCGUUUAAUCCCGGGUCUGGGCA
rnacentral:tRNA from 1 species